GAAGAACAUUAUGAAAGGUAUGUACGGUAACUCCAUCCAUGCUUGGCCACACACCAACGUAUGUUUUCCACUGGUGCUAACCUAAACAAAUUCGUUUACUGUGAACUGAACAACGGUGCAUCGUGAUACAGAGGUUGGAGAGGCUGGAGGAGACCAUAUACCAACACAAAGCGCAUCUUGAUGGCCAUCAAUGAGGAGCUGGACCUGCUACACCAGGCUAAUUGCAAGCAUUGGGUACUUUUGUUAGCUAUCAAUUAAAUCUCUUGUCCUGCAAGAACAUGUGUUUAUUUAUGAAAACAUUUUACAUGAGCGUUGUAGGAUGAUUUGGAUGAGAUGACUGAUGAGGACAUGAGCGUUGUCGGAUGAUUUGGACGAGAGGACUGUAGCACGACGCAAUGAAGAGCCAGAUCGUCCGUCCGCUCCCAGCUCACUUCCCAGUUCUGUUGUGCUGCCCCGUGCACCAACCAUCCAGUAAAGGUUCUGAGGUUAACAUCUCUUUUGCAAGUUUCGUAUAACUUUCGUUGUCACUUUAUUAUCUAUUGAUCCACAUGUUUGUAUUUUAACAGACAUGAGUACUUUAUCAUCUUUCCAGGAAGAAAUUACUAGAGAGAAGAAAACUCAGUUUUACAAGUAGUGACAGUCCAACAUCAUAUUGACACAUCUGGUUUCUCUUUCCACAAGCAGGGUCGAGUGGGGUGAUAUACUAGGCGCUUUCUUCUAAAUUGUACAGAAAGUCCACUGAGUUAUUGUUGUUUGUAUGCCACCUUAGAGCGAAAUAGUACUUCUUUUAAUCAUUUUUUAGGUGAAAUACAAGCAUGUAGCUACCUCACUUAAUUAUUGUACUCACUUGAAGUUUAUGUUGAUACAAUGCACUAUUUAAGUAGUAGAGAAACCUCACAAAUUUAAAUUGAUGAAUGAUAUUUAGGAAAAGAAGUAGGCAUGUUUCAUUAUAAAGGGAAAGUCUUUUUCAAGGCAUAGUGUUUAAUUCAUGAAUGGUUAAACAGUUUAACGGGGACCAACACUGGGUAGCAGGGGAGUGGCAGUGCAUAGAGAUAUAGUGAGGGGAGCGGGGGCGAUGAUGGAGGCGGAGAUGUUUAGAGAGAGAUAUAGAGAGUGGGAGGUUCACCAUGGUGCAAUCGAAAACCAAGGCACACCUUGCUAAGACAAGCACACUUUAAAACAUAGCAAUACUCUGCAUUGUUUGAUGUUGGUAUCAGGACCAGGUACCAUGUGAAGCUCAAGGAAUGGUUGUAGAUCAUUAUGGAUAAACUAAAAAAAAAGAUCAUUAUGGAGUACAUUAUAAACGGCAUUUGGUGUCGGCGGCAUGUCACUACCACUGACAAAGUUCUCUGAAACACGAUUACUAUCAUGUACAAUGCUUUACAGUUCUCUCAUAUUCAAAUGCUAAAAUUCUGUAAUUUCAUAUUUAGUAGUUUCUGCGGUGUGAAAUUCAUGUUUUAUUUUGCUUGUGCAGUUGAAAAUAAAUGUUGGCAAAGAUAUUAAAAUUCAAAUCUGGCUUAUUUUUCUCAAUAUGGGUUCAGAAGGAAAUUGUCGUUGAGCUUCUAUCUAAAGGUAUGUCAGAUUAACAGGUUGCUAUCGCAACUCUUGAUUUGGAGUAAUGCAAAGCAACUGUGGAUCUUGUCGUCGGUACAUCUUGGGUUGUUGUUCUUCCAGAACGAAGGAUUUUUUUCCCUAGAUUGUGCUAUGAAAUAAUGCUUGUAUAACGCCUUGAUCUCUUGGCUACACCAUGCUUUCUGGAGAACACUAUACUUACAGAAGAAUGAUGCUUCUAUAGAAUGUGCCACCAUGAGUUCUGUCAGCUCUUUUAAUUUUGUGUUCACUAUGGACGAAUGAACCAUAUAAUUUGUCAAUUUGAUCAGUACUUGCUGAGUGCUUGCUUUCAUGUUGCAAUCUCAGAUUUAGGCACUUCAUAGCCAUAGAUUAAUUUUGAAUUGUUAUGCUCAGUACACCAAAUGUUGUUCCUAGGUAAUGCACUGUUUGCAACUAAGUUUUGUCUUUAAGCACCAAGGUGUAGUAGUAUGCAUUGAAAUAAAUGGAUCAUUUCUAUCUUUCUGGUGCUCAUAAUAGACUUUUUCAUUUUGAAUUUGUAUGCUUGAAAUUUGAUUAUUUCUAUCAACUGAGAGUGGAAAUGAACUGUACCGUAGGCACUUUUUCAUUAGAUUUCAGCAGCGGCUGAUGGCAGCAACCUCAUGGGCCACACAUCCCCUUCUUUAAUUGCAUGCCCUCACAAAAUGGAUGGGGACUUGGUUCUUUGGUUGUCGCCGCCGGACUCAGUGAAGGACGAAAAAUUGAGAUGAUCUAGUGGAGAAUAGAUGCCACGGGCUGAAGAAAGGAGGCGACGGUUUCAGAGCACACACCUUGAAGCGGAGAGGCGGCAAGGGAGUGCGUCUGGAUGGCAAGAGGGAGCGGGACAAGGCAACAUCACAUGGGAGGCAUGGUCAAAAUCGGCGCCGUAGGAGCAAUCGUGCGCGUGGGGGUCGUACCAGGGAGAAGGAAAAGGAUGGUCGGUUUUCUAGGGCUUUUUUCCUUGCAUCGGGAAAUGGGUUUGGUUGAAAAAAACGAUGAUGUGGGGAGGUUAUGCGAGUGGUGGAUACGUGGGUACCAUUUAAUGUACCAAGUGCGCUUUAAUAGUAGAGAUUAAGAUGUUGAUAUUUUAUUCAUUUUCUUCUUAGCUGAACAUUCUUUAAACCAAAAAUCUAUGAAACUUGUAAUGUAUCAUGGUCGCAAUUUGUGAAGUAGAACUAACUAUCCUUUGACCAAAUACCCUUUGACCAUUCAUCAAUUUUUAUGUACUUGUCGCCCGUGACAACAAAUAUGGAUCAAAUAACUAUGCACUAUGGGCACUAAUAUGUUUACCUUCAAAUGGGUUUGUUACUGUGUUUAGUUACUAUGAUGUUUCAUAUGUUCAUCAGAAAAAAUAAAGGCUUAUUUGCUUGCAUGUGCUUUCUCAUGUUUGUUUGUUUUUUCUUCUGGUUGUUCCUUUUCUAUAAUUGUCACAUAAAGUGAACCGAAACUCAUAUUCUAUAUUUCUGCUGUGUAGAUACCCGUGAGCCCGCUGUUGAACUCGCUAAAAAUGGAGAUAGACAUGGAUUUAACGGUUCUCAUUCAUUUAAAUCUUAGUGAAUUGAUACCAGUUUCCAUUUGGAACUGAGAUAACGAGGAAUCGUUUCCUUCAUGAUACUGCAUGUAUGAGCUUUUUUCUUUCGGUCUAGGCCAAUAUUGUACAAAGUUAUUUCCUAAAAUUAUAUUCGAAGGUGUCUUCUAUGAGAGUAACCAUCUCAAUCUUUUUUCUAUAGUUGUCACAAGGUUCUUGUGCUAAAGUAAAGUGAUUUUUGCUUGGUCAAUAUGUUUUCUUCUGAAUAUUUCAAGAAUGAAUUAGUUUAUGCUGCAGUAGUGAGUCACUGUUAAAAAUAGGGAGAAAGGUGUUAUAAGUGAAAAAUUAUGUAGUAUACUUUUAGCUUCCAAACAUUUGUACUUAUGUUCUAUGCCCAUUUUGAUUUGGACAAAUGUUUGGGAAUCACAGUGGUGAAAAGG
rnacentral:lncRNA from 1 species